CCUACGGGCGGCAGCAGUGGGGAAUAUUGCACAAUGGGCGCAAGCCUGAUGCAGCCAUGCCGCGUGUGUGAAGGAGGCCUUCGGGUUGUAAAGCACUUUCAGCGGGGAGGAAGGCGGUGAGGUUAAUAACCUCAUCGAUUGACGUUACCCGCAGAAGAAGCACCGGCUAACUCCGUGCCAGCGGCCGCGGUAAUACGGAGGGUGCAAGCGUUAAUCGGAAUUACUGGGCGUAAAGCGCACGCAGGCGGUCUGUCAAGUCGGAUGUGAAAUCCCUGGGCUCAACCUGGGAACUGCAUUCGAAACUGGCAGGCUAGAGUCUUGUAGAGGGGGGUAGAAUUCCAGGUGUAGCGGUGAAAUGCGUAGAGAUCUGGAGGAAUACCGGUGGCGAAGGCGGCCCCCUGGACAAAGACUGACGCUCAGGUGCGAAAGCGUGGGGAGCAAACAGGAUUAGAUACCCGAGUAGUC
rnacentral:rRNA from 1 species